AUACAGAGGGUGCAAGCGUUAAUCGGAAUUACUGGGCGUAAAGCGCGCGUAGGCGGUUUUGUAAGUCGGAUGUGAAAGCCCCGGGCUUAACCUCGGAAUUGCAUUCGAAACUGCAUGGCUCGAGUCUGAUAGAGGGAAGUGGAAUUUCCGGUGUAGCGGUGAAAUGCGUAGAUAUCGGAAGGAACACCAGUGGCGAAGGCGGCUUCCUGGAUCAAGACUGACGCUAAGGUGCGAAAGCGUGGGGAGCAAACAGGAUUAGAAACCCCAGUAGUCC
rnacentral:rRNA from 1 species